rnacentral:lncRNA from 1 species
UGCAGCACGUGACCUCCUGCAGGCCCCCUCACACAGCUCUCCCGCUGGAGGUGCAGGGUGUCUGGGCAGGGCUGUGCCACCAGAAACUCACAGUGGGCGCUGAGCUGCACACGGGGCUCAGGGGAACGACCUCCAGCAUGAGCUGUUUGGAUCUAGGAGCUCCCAUGAGUUGCUGGGGAACUUUGCUUAGGAAACCAUUCACAGAUGGGGAUAAAUGGUCUCCGAGUAUGAACUACGUGAGCGGACCGGUUCCAAGAGUUGUUUAAGAGUACUCUGAUGAUUCACAUAUUAUUAGCAGAGGAGCUGGAUAGCGAGCCUUGUCCUUCCGAGUGCUUCCCCUGCACAUCAGUCCCCUGGAAGUAAUAUCACAAUUGGUGCUUCGCUUUUGUUUCCUUCUGCAGAGGAUAAAGAGAAGUAGCAAAAUUAAGUGUGAACAGUUUCAGCUUUAGGACGUUGGUAACAGAACAAAGGCAACACAAGGCUGUGCAGCACGUUCUCAUUUCCAGCCUCUCAGCUGCAAGAAAACUUCUAUUUAAAAAAGUGACCUAAGCAGCUCACCAGUACAGACCAGAGCAGUCAGGAAAGCUGUGACAGUGAGAAGUGCUUCCACCUUGUGAUUUCAUGGCUUACGUUUACACCAAAAGUAACAAAGUGAUGCUUACGUAGGACUUUGCUUACCCGGAGGUCAAAGGAACACCUCUCUGCAGAAUCCACGGUGCAGUGAUCAUUUCUACAUGCCAGAUGCUGCACGUGUGAGAUGACAGUGACACACUCGGAUUUUUCUCAUUUUGAGAGAUUUCAC